GCCUGGCGCGGUGGCACAUGCCUGUAGUCCCAGCUACUCAGGAGGCUGGAGUGGGAGGGUCGCUUGGGCCCAGGAGUUCUGAGCUGUGGUGCGCUCUGCCUAUCCCGUGUCUGCACUAAGUCUGGCAUCAAUAUGGUGACCUCCUCGGAGCGGGGGACCACCACCAGGUCGCCUAAGGAGGGGUGAACUGGCCCAGGUCAGAGCAGGUCAAAAUUCCCGUGCUGAUCAGUAGUGGGAUCGCGCCUGUGAAUAGCCACUGCACUCCAGCCUGGGCAACAUAGUUAUACUCUGCCUU
rnacentral:SRP_RNA from 1 species